rnacentral:rRNA from 1 species
UAAUCAUUAGUCUUUUAAUUGAAGGCUGGUAUGAACGGUUGGACGAGGUAUAAGCUGUUUCAUAUAAAUUUAUAAUAGAAUUUUAUAUUUUAGUCAAAAAGCUAAAAUAUAUUUAAAAGACGAGAAGACCCUAUAAAUCUUUAUAUUUUGUGUUGUUUAAAUUUUUUGGAAUUGGUUUAUUUUUAUAAUAUAAAAUAUUUUGUUGGGGUGAUAUUAAAAUUUAAUUAACUUUUAAUUAUUUAAAAUCAUUAAUUUAUGAGUUAUUGAUCCAUUAAUAGUGAUUAUAAGAUUAAGUUACUUUAGGGAUAACAGCGUAAUUUUUUUGGAGAGUUCAUAUCGAUAAAAAAGUUUGCGACCUCGAUGUUGGAUUAAGAUAUAAUUUUAGGUGUAGUCGCUUAAAUGUUAAGUCUGUUCGACUUUUAAAUUCUUACAUGAUCUGAGUUCAGACCGGCGUAAGCCAGGUUGGUUUCUAUCUUUAAAUUUUUAUAAUGCCUUAGUACGAAAGGACCAGGCAUUAAAAUAAUAAUAUUUUAUUUAUAGAAUGUGAUUAAUU